rnacentral:rRNA from 1 species
GAUCAUGGCUCAGGAUGAACGCUGGCGGCGUGCCUAACACAUGCAAGUCGAACGAAGCAAUUAAGAGGAAGUUUUCGGAUGGAAUCUUGAUUGACUGAGUGGCGGACGGGUGAGUAACGCGUGGAUAACCUGCCUCACACUGGGGGAUAACAGUUAGAAAUGACUGCUAAUACCGCAUAAGCGCACGCUACCGCAUGGUAGCGUGUGAAAAACUCCGGUGGUAUGAGAUGGACCCG